CUCUAUGCCUCAGUUUCCUUAUUUGUAAAAUAGAGAAAACAACCCUUGAUGCUGCAAGGAUUAGAUAGCUUAAUAUGUAUUGUAAAGCAUGCAGAGUCAGGCAUGGUGGUGCAUGCCUGUAAUCCCAGCACCCUGGGAGGCUGGGGCAGGAGGAUCACAAGUUUGAGCUCAGCCUGGACAAUUUAGCAACUUAGCAAGACCCUGUCUCAACAUUUUAAAAGUGCUGAGGAUGUAGCUCAGGUUCAAUCCCCAGGACCAGAAGGGGUAAAAAAAAAAAAAAAAAAAAGAGUAUUCAGAACAAUCUGUGUUACACAGUAAGUGCUAUACAUUUGAGCUUACUGUUGUCAGGGUGGUGAUUAUCUUCUUGUGUUUCUAAUGGGACACUUUCUUUAUUCUCUUUCUUAAAGAUCUUUCAUCUCUUGGUAUUCUCUGUCACUGCAAAGUGCAGUGUCCUCUAGUUCGUAUUUUCACAGAGUCUGACAAGCAUGAUGUUAACUUAGGGACAGUUUUCUUUCAGGAGAUUGGAAUCUAAAAAUGGCUCUUUUAUCAUUUUUUUCAGUGAAUUAUAUUUCAACAAAGGAGAUCAUAGUUUUGAAAAUACCUACAUGGAUAUGAAGACCAUAUUCAGAGUGUCUGGGCCAGGUUUUAAGGAGAAUCAUCUGGUGGUAACUUGCAACUGCAUCCAUAUCUAUGCCCUGAUGUGCAGGCUCCUGGGGAUAGCUCUGUGGCAGUCACCAGCAGAUGCUCCUGGACUUUCUUCCCCAGCCACCAGGAUCAGAGACUCGGAGAGAAUCUGCUUUCCGUAACACAGGAAUUGGACUCAGUGUCAUCAUAAAAGGCAGAGAGCCGAUCAAAACAGCAAGAGCAAGCCAGUGCUCCUGCCGCAGCUCUGAAACCAGCCUUCCUUGACCCUCAAGGCCCAGCCCUGCGAAGACGCUUGGUUGUAUCUCAAGCGACUGCCUCAGGAUACUGCCACUAAAAGGAUUUGUGUACUUCUGAAACUAACAAACUGUUCAUUCUAUGUAAACCACAGACAUAUCCACAGCCCACUGUCUUUAUUUAAAUCAACAGUGUUCAGAGAAUAAAAGAUGAACUUUGAGGGGGAUCUGAUCUGUCCUCACGUGGUUCUGCAGAGGAACAACAGAACACUCGCAAUUAGAAUUAAUUUCCCUCUCGUUCUCAUAGCUAAGCAGGGUUCAAGUGUUUCUCAUCUGAAGGAGGUAAUGAGAUUUAAUCUGUCCCCUUGUCUACCUUCUCCAAGCAUAUUUAACAAAUU
rnacentral:lncRNA from 1 species